rnacentral:rRNA from 1 species
CCUACGGGCGGCAGCAGUGAGGAAUAUUGGUCAAUGGUCGGGAGACUGAACCAGCCAAGCCGCGUGAGGGAGGAAGGUACAGAGUAUCGUAAACCUCUUUUGUCAGGGAACAAAGGCGGGGACGUGUCCCCGGAUGAGUGUACCUGAAGAAAAAGCAUCGGCUAACUCCGUUACAGCCGUCGCGGUAAUACGGAGGAUGCGAGUGUUAGCCGGAUUUAUUGGGUUUAAGGGGUGAGCAGGCGGUCUGUUAAGUCAGCGGUCAAAGCCCGGGGCUCAACCCCGGCCCGCCGUUGAAACUGGAAGUCUCGAGGUGGAGAGAAGUAUGCGGAAUGCGCGGUGUAGCGGUGAAAUGCAUAGAUAUCGCGCAGAACUCCGAUUGCGAAGGCAGCAUGCCGGCUCCACACUGACGCUGAGGCACGAAAGCGUGGGUAUCGAACAGGAUGAGAUACCCGAGUAGUC